GAUGAACGCUGGCGGCGUGCCUAAUACAUGCAAGUCGAGCGAAUGGAUUAAGAGCUUGCUCUUAUGAAGUUAGCGGCGGACGGGUGAGUAACACGUGGGUAACCUGCCCAUAAGACUGGGAUAACUCCGGGAAACCGGGGCUAAUACCGGAUAACAUUUUGAACCGCAUGGUUCGAAAUUGAAUGGCGGCUUCGGCUGUCACUUAUGGAUGGACCCGCGUCGCAUUAGCUAGUUGGAGAGGUAACGACUCACCAAGGCAACGAUGCGUAGCCGACCUGAGAGGGUGAUCGGCCACACUGGGACUGAGACACGGCCCAGACUCCUACGGGAGGCAGCAGUAGGGAAUCUUCCGCAAUGGACGAAAGUCUGACGGAGCAACGCCGCGUGAGUGAUGAAGGCUUUCGGGUCGUAAAACUCUGUUGUUAGGGAAGAACAAGUGCUAGUUGAAUAAGCUGGCACCUUGACGGUACCUAACCAGAAAGCCACGGCUAACUACGUGCCAGCCGCCGCCGUAA
rnacentral:rRNA from 1 species